UAGUCCCGAUCCUUAAUUCAAUUAUACUUUCUUCCUUUUUUUCGUUAGUCUUCUUCCUUAUUACUUUUGGUCUUUUUCUUCAGAAUACAAAUUCUUUUUUCUUCUUCUCCAUUCGAUGCAUACUAUGUGACUGACACUUUCUCCUCACUUUCAUUCUAUCACAGAACCCAGUCCAGAAAUGUUCUUGAACCCAUAAAUUGAGAAGAUCGACGACCCCAAAUCGAUGAAAACAAAUUCUCAUUCUCUCCCUAAACAGCCUUCUCAUUACUAAUCCCUACAUUGAAAACCCAAAAAUCCCAAACCGGAAAAUCCCCAAUUCUAUCCCGAAACCCUAACCCCAAAACGAAGAACCCUAAUCUUAAUCCCUCAUUUUCCAUCAUCGAAAUCUUCAAAUUCCAUCAAUCUCUUCUUCCAAUCUAAACCUGCUGGAAAAAUUUCUAAAUAUCAAUCUCCACUUGCUACGGGCGAUUUUGGAAUCAUGGACACCAUCGCCAACCAACACUUUGCUGAUGGCUGGGAAAACAAGAAGGAAGUCGAGGUAUUUCCCCUUGCUAAGAAGAUGAUGAAGCAUGGAAUCUGGUUGCACAAGCCAAAGGCUGAGGUAUUGCUUGACCUGGAAUAACAUUCGAAGCACUUUGAUUCGAGGUACGGAGGCUUCACCCUAGUUAGUGCUCUUAUGUUUCCUACAUUGUUUUUAUGGUUUGAAGUUGUUUUUAAGAUUUAACACUUGAGUUCAUGAGAUGACUUGAGAGUGAGCGGGGCAUAGUGACUUCCAUGGGUUUCGAUCCCCUAAACCUCCAGAGGGGCUGUACGGACGGGAUAGUGUCUGACAUCCUUUGAGGUGUGACACUAGAUCUAGGUGGUACGGCGUAAAUGGACACUCUCGCUACUCUUCACCUGUUGUUGAAGAUUUAAAUCUUUGGUGAGGAUGUAGUUGGCUAGUAUUAGACCGGUCAUCAUGUUUGAUUUUACCGAGUUGGUCUUGCAGGUACUGUGCACGAGGAUUGAGGAGGAUUUCGGGAAUGAGUUGGGUGCUACAUUUUUCUUUAACUAUUUGGUAUAUUUACCUACACAUUUUAUUCACCUUUAUUGAAUUGUUAUUGUUUGAUGGAGGUUGAGUGUUAUCUGUUUGGACCCAAAAUGAACAUUUUGGCCUAACAAGGCAUGUGUUGGAGAAAUUGAGCCAAUGUCAGUGGCUCAAGCUAUAUAUUGUUGACAAGCUCGAAAUAUAUAUUUAGAGGCUAAAUAAAGCCUACUAUGGAAGUAUGACAAGUCAACUUUAGCAUAUUUUCCUACUUCGGCUAGGAAAAACCGAGCUAGACAAGGAAGGAGGGGUGGCAGACUGACCAAAUGAACUUGAAAUGAGCUGAAACUCUGUAGAUCCAUUCUAGACAGCCCAAGGAUCAUUUCUUAUGAAGAGUGCCAGAGAUAUUUUAGAGUGGAAGGCCUUCAAACAAUCAGUCCAAUUUUCUACAGAAGCAAAACUGGAAAACUGGACCUGUAAGAGGUCCAGCAGCAUUUUCGGCCCAACCACAUGGAAUAAAAAUCUGAAAAUUUGUCAGGAUGAUCUACACUCAUAGUGGAACAUUUCAUAUGCAGAAGUCGAAGGCAUAUAAUGAAGUCUUGUUAGAGAAAUAAUUGAAGGAAUAAAGGGGCAGAAACUGACCUAAAACCAGCUCAAUAUUCACAUGUUCAUGUUUCCUACCCACAUGAAGAAAGCUAGAUGCUUUUCUUUUUUUCCUUGGAUAUAUUUUUCUACUACAAUCUCUUUAAUAGAUCAUCAUCACUUCCAUGUUUCUACACCUUCAUGCUUUGCUUUCAUUUCAUCAUUUCUCUAUCUUUUCCAUAUUUUACAAACCACUUUCAUUAUUUUUCUUCCACUCUUCUUUUUCUUCCCUAUAUAAACACCUUCUCCUCUCAUUCUAAAAGACACAUUCACAUUCAACAACAACAUCUCUAAGAUGAUCUAAGUUCUCUCUAGAGCAAACCUCUCUAAGAGCAACUCCUCUCCCUCUCUUUCUCUUUCUCUUACCGGUGAUCACACUCCUAGUCCUAGUCUUCUCAGAAGCCGACUUUCAGUGCCACCAAACCCUCUGUCAACGUGCUUCGGUCCUAGUCUCCUCGGGAGCCGACGGUAGUGCCGCGACCACAACGGUUACAGAACCAGCCAAGCAAGGGUAACGCCCUAGCAACCCAGCCAAGCUAAAGUCACGCUUUAGCAAGAUCUCAACAUUUCCCGGUGAUGUCGCUCUGCUCGAUCUACAAUAUUGAGUAUCGAUUGUGUUAACAAGAAGAAACUUCAGCAAAGUCCUCACCACGAGGCAGAAAGAAUCCCCACGACGAGGUUGGUGCUCUCCUCGUCUACAAUCGCUUGAAAGAAGUCAGGUUAAGGGACACCCCCAACGACCGCACCCGAACGGUGCUGGCACGC